AGGAUUAACGCUGGCGGCGUGCCUGACACAUGCAAGUCGAACGGAGGCCGCAAGGGCCUAGUGGCGGACGGGUGAGUAACACGUGACCAACCAACCCCGAGUUGGGAAUAGCUCUGCGAAAGUAGAGGUAAUACCGAAUGUGGUCCAGGGCGGACAUCCGCUCUGGUCUAAAGAUUUAUCGCUUCGGGACGGGGUCGCGGCCUAUUAGCUUGUUGGUGGGGUAACGGCCUACCAAGGGCAGUUGAUCGGUAUCCGGCCUGAGAGGGCGCACGGACACACUGGGAACUGAAACACGGUCCAGACUCCUAACGGGCGGCAGC
rnacentral:rRNA from 1 species